rnacentral:lncRNA from 1 species
AUGGGGAGUGGGAAGGUUCUGGGAGGGCAUAUGGCACCCAGAAUAUGGCUGUAGGCAUUUGUAAAUGGGGUUGUUGACAUUGAGCUUUCAGGAAGAGAAGAUUAAGACACAGAGAUACCAGAGAGGUCGUUCACAGAGGAAAGACCAUGUGAAGACGCAGUGAGAAGGUGGCCAUAUUCAAGCUGAGGAGAGAGACCUCAGAAGAAACCAAUACUGCCAACGCCUUGGUCUUGGACUUCCAGCCUCCAGAACUUGGACUCUACCUUCCUUCCCCUGAUUCUCAUGAGAAUCUGAUCUUCGCUAAAGUGGGCAAGGUCCUGGAUCAGAAGAUGCCUGACAAGAGGCCACUAUCAGCAGCAACAGCACAGUGGGGACAAACCUGAGACCUUGAUGGACCGUGGACACCAGCAGGAGAGACAGAGGAACUUGAAGUCUAAAUGGGCAGACAAGACCAACAUACACAAAGCAGAGAGUGGCACAAGAGCCAUGUCUGAUGCAACAGUGACUCAGGAGGAUCACUCUGACUCAGAAUGGCCAAGCAAAGAAUUGAAAUUGAGUAACGUUUAACAGAAGGUGUCUGAUUACAACAAUGCCCUGGCUGUGAAGAGAACAAAUUCAGAACUUUCUCCUAAGGAGAGAAGGAGCAAACUGUUACUCUCUUGUCAAAUCCAGUUUUCUUUUAAUCUCUGAUAAUGUUUCACAUUGAACCAAUGCCUUUAAUAUGACUUAGUGCUUUAGGAAAAUAGUAUCACCUCAGGAUAUUUAGGUAACUAAACCAGCAGAUCCAAUAAGUGUUAUCUUUCAGAGUCAGCCUUCUGAAGGAGGCUAGAUGCACAUGUGAAUGACUUUGCCAUAGCACAGAAUGCGUCUGGAUCAUACUUCUGGAAAUUCCUCUGGAACCACUGUGUAAAUGAAGCUAUCAGGAAAUCUCAUUGCUUUGUAAUCAUGCUUUACUUUUGACUAAAAAGUAAAAACAC